rnacentral:rRNA from 1 species
UACGUAGGGUGCAAGCGUUAAUCGGAAUUACUGGGCGUAAAGCGUGCGCAGGCGGCUUUGCAAGACAGAUGUGAAAUCCCCGGGCUAACCUGGGAACUGCAUUUGUGACUGCAUGGCUGGAGUGCGGCAGAGGGGGAUGGAAUUCCGCGUGUAGCAGUGAAAUGCGUAGAUAUGCGGAGGAACACCGAUGGCGAAGGCAUCCCCUGGGCCUGCACUGACGCUCAUGCACGAAAGCGUGGGGAGCAAACAGG